rnacentral:lncRNA from 1 species
AGCAAAUGAGAAGAGAAUACUAAUCGAAUAGUUUUACUAGUGACGGAAGAACUACAAUCAGUUUCAUUUUCUUCAUUCGCUUGGAUUGUUCUUGGUUUAUGAUAGAGAAUAUUCGUGUUUGAAAACUUAGAAAAUCAGUUCAUUAAUUCAGGGAAGAGAGAUUAUUUACAUGUUGAUGAAUAUUUUAAAAACCAGGCUUUUAUAUAAUAUCGCUUCAUAUUAAAAGUUGAUAAUAUUUAUAUCUGUUAUGCCCAAACACUGAAAUCGUGCAAUGACCGAGAGGGGCAGCCAUAACGCGUUGUGGUCACUUCCAAACGACCAAACGCAGUUGCUCAACAUUAUUUCGUUUGGGGGCCAUGGUGAGGUAACCCAGUGGACAACUCCGCCAAAACCAAUGCACGUUCUGAGCCUUUUGAAACGACCGCAGAUAGUUCUGAAACAGCUCAGAGCAUAUACAGUAUUUGUAGUAGUACGCUCGGUGUUAACUAAUAGUCACAGAAUUCCGCUACUGGUAAUAGAAUAUUGACCGUUUAGCAGUGUAUCGGCGAUGGCAACUAAUUCACGAAAAAGGAGCUACAUUUUGGAGACGAGACUUCAAUUAUAAGCAUUUUUACAAUAUUUUUAUUUUUAAAUCAUAAAUAAAGUCUUUCCAAAAGUAAUUUUUUUCCUUAAAAAUUUUAAAAGAUUUCAACAAGAACACAAUCGGGCAUUGGGUUAAAUCAUUUUCAA